rnacentral:rRNA from 1 species
CCUACGGGAGGCAGCAGUGAGGAAUAUUGGUCAAUGGACGAGAGUCUGAACCAGCCAAGUAGCGUGAAGGAUGACUGCCCUAUGGGUUGUAAACUUCUUUUAUAUGGGAAUAAAACAGGGUAUGCAUACCCUCUUGUAUGUACCAUAUGAAUAAGGAUCGGCUAACUCCGUGCCAGCAGCCGCGGUAAUCCGGAAGAUCCGAGCGUUAUCCGGAUUUAGUGGGUUUAAAGGGAGCGUAGGUGGAUUGUUAAGUCAGUUGUUAAAGUUUGCGGCUCAACCGUAAAAUUGCAGUUGAAACUGGCAGUCUUGAGUACAGUAGAGGUGGGCGGAAUUCGUGGUGUAGCGGUGAAAUGCUUAGAUAUCACGAAGAACUCCGAUUGCGAAGGCAGCUCACUGGACUGCAACUGACACUGAUGCUCGAAAGUGUGGGUAUCAAACAGGAUUAGAUACCCCUGUAGUC